AAGUACUUCCUGCAGAAUACUAUGAAACCAUCUGCUCUGAAGCAAACCAUUUCAAUCACUGCUUAAUGUUCAGAGUCAAUGAAAUAAACUGUGAAGCAGAAAAUAAAAUAAGUAGUAAGCAACAAACAAUUUUCACAGUAGAACUGGAAUGAUCCAAAACAUUUAAUUCAACAUUCCUCCUAACCAAUUGUGGAAAAUUAUGCAGCUUUGUGUAUUUAUUUUGGCCAUGGUAAACAAUAUUCUCUUGUGCUUAUGAAAAAAAUACUUUUUCCAAGAAGGUAGUGUGCAAAAUCAACAGUGAUUGAUUUGGGCUACAUUAAAGAUGUGGGAGGCAAAAAGGUACCUUUGUCUCCUCAGCUGGAUGACCCAGGACCUCAAGUGACUAGAGCUAGAUGCUGAGCGGACACAGGCUCACAUGCAGCCUAUAGCCAGUCUACCCACACUGUAGACCUUCCUGAGCACCUGAGGCAGAACUAGUUUCCAACAUCGACUGUAAAGAGGGCUUAUGUUCUUUUCUGGUUCCUAGGCCUUAUGCAAAUUCCAGGGUGGCCCUGAGCAUGAUCUGAGACAAUUAUGAAGUUAU
rnacentral:lncRNA from 1 species